rnacentral:lncRNA from 1 species
GCGAGGGGUGGGACCGCAGGGCCGGAGUAAAAGGGUGCUUGGCUGUGACAGGUGCUAAGGGCCUGGGCGUCAGCUCCUUGCGGGAGCGUCACUGCCGACCGGGAAGGGAAAGGCAAUCUUGGGGGCCUCCGGAGUCCGGAGGAUCACUCUGAUGGGUGAUGUCUCCUGGCCUCAGUGAUGGAAUUAAGAUGACUUCUAUCUCUGAAUCCAAGGGUGACUGAAAGCCGCAAGCUGCAGAAAGGACAAGAGGCAUCACCUAUGUGGAUAAAGACAGCAUCCUGAGUUGAUGGAGAAAUGGCAUAGAAGGAACCAGGUCCUUUGAUGACAUCAUGGAGCAAAGCUGUCUUCUUGCCUUGACCUGCUACCUACCUACAUGGGAAGCUGUUACUUGAGAAGGCAAUAAAAUCUAUCUUCUUUAUUGA